UCCCCUCUCUGUCCCUUCCCCGCCUGCACUCGCUUGCCUUGUCUCUCUCAGAAGUAAAGAAACAUUUUUAAAAACACAUAUAUGAUACAACCUUAGAAUGUAAUACUUGGCGACCUCAGAAAGAAUGUGGUAGAACCACUGUAUCUCACUGGCCUCAACUUCUGCUCAUUCCAUGCAGCCCCUCCAGCCUCCUGGCCUCUCUCCAACACGCAGGCCUUUCCCACACCGAAGUUCCUGAGGCAGCACUUCCUUCAGGGAGAUCUGGAAGAGAGAGAAGGGUCGAGACCAAGCACCUUCUCGGGAGGCCUCCUCUGGCCGCAAGACUCUGGAGAUGUUUCCUCUCGAGUUGUUGGGGUUCGACUUGACAAAAUUCUAGAGGCGGUACAGAGUCUGUGAUCAGAAAAAUGCCUUUAUCACGGCGAAAAUCUGCUCGUGCCGAUGGACCGGAGAGAAGGCAGAAGAAGCAGUUGUGUCUCGGGGUAGCUGCUGUCCCUUGAAAUCCGGUAAAAAUGGCCCCGUGAAUGCAGGGCCUAAAAGUGAGUCCCCAAAGUGAGGGGCCUCUGGGACCCACACGCCAUCCCCCAAACAGGAAGAAUCAUUUUCCUGGCAACGGAAAGAUUAAUCAUGCGUUUCACAAAGGAGACGCAAGGUUCGGUAAUGUGGCGACCUUGAUUUACAAUGGCCUCCUGAUUUAUUGUUGUGUAUUUUUAAACCAUGCUAUUUAAAACACAGCUAAUUUAAAAGCUAGUGUGUAGGCCCCGUCUGACUAUUGCUAAAGAUUUACUUUGUGCUAAUAAGAAAAUUAUUGUGUCUACGCUAUUCCCACUUCUCCCGCACUGUGUGAUCCAACCUCCAAUAAAAUUGCUUGUCAGGUGAGAGACA